UACGUAGGGUGCGAGCGUUGUCCGGAAUUAUUGGGCGUAAAGAGCUUGUAGGCGGUUUGUCGCGUCUGCUGUGAAAAUCCGGGGCUCAACUCCGGACUUGCAGUGGGUACGGGGCAGGCUAGAGUGUGGUAGGGGAGACGUGGAAUUCCUGGUGUAGCGGUGAAAUGCGUAGAUAUCUGGAGGAAUACCGGUGGCGAAGGCGGUUCUCUGGGACGGGUACUGACGCUGAGGCGCGAAAGCGUGGGGAGC
rnacentral:rRNA from 1 species